GUCCUUUCCCCCAAACGUGUCCGAUUCCCCAAAACGUGUCCACAUUGACGUCACUGAACUGCAAAACAUGUCUAGUUAAAAAAUCGCCAAGGCGUGUGAUUUGUAUAUACGACCAACGUGUCCAUUUCUCAACAAACCCCAAAACGUGUCCAUAUUAAGCGUUAUUUAGUUAUUGCUAUUUCAUUAACGUAUACUAAUUUUACCAUUUCAUUAAAAAUAUAGAUAAGACACUUUAUUAAACCGGCCGAAAAAACUGGGUAAAAGUGGGGGCGUCAUUUCGGCUAUGUCAUGUAUGUCGUAUGUAAAUUGUAAACAAACAUGUUUAGUUAAACUGUACAGUUAACGGACGAAAGUGUCCCUUUCUUUGCACAUUAAAAUUUGUAUGUUCUCUUAAAAAUAAAAACUUGUUACCUAUUUUCUCUCUAAAUAUGCAUGAAAUACUUACAACUGGACAAUACGCAAUCA
rnacentral:lncRNA from 1 species